AUGGCUGGAUCUAAAGCUAUAUGUUCUUCCACCUUUCACGAAGCAAAUGCCGCUCAAACGACGAGAACUCUGAUGCCUUAUCCUCCUCCUCCUCCUCCUCCUAAAAGCAUUACAGAUCAAGUUGUGAGCCCCGAGGGAGACCGAGGUAUCCAUGCUCCUCUGCAUGAUCGGAUAGAGAAACCAUCGACAAAGAAUCUUCAAAAAUAUCCUCUCUAUGCUCACAUCUUGAAUAUUGGGAUACCAAAGUCGUUAGAGAAUCCUUAUAAAUUGAACAAGUACAAUAGGAAAGGAGAUCCUGACAAGAAUGUGUAA